GACCUACGGGGCGCAGCAGUGAGGAAUAUUGGUCAAUGGUCGGGAGACUGAACCAGCCAAGCCGCGUGAGGGAGGAAGGUACAGAGUAUCGUAAACCUCUUUUGUCAGGGGACAAAGACUGGGACGCGUCCCCGGAUGAGUGUACCUGAAGAAAAAGCAUCGGCUAACUCCGUGCCAGCAGCCGCGGUAAUACGGAGGAUGCGAGCGUUAUCCGGAUUUAUUGGGUUUAAAGGGUGCGUAGGCGGAAGAUCAAGUCAGCGGUAAAAUUGAGAGGCUCAACCUCUUCGAGCCGUUGAAACUGGUUU
rnacentral:rRNA from 1 species